AUGGGGUGGGUGGUGGGAGAUGGAAAGAGAAUAAAAACAAGAACUGUCUACCUGCUGCAGGGAGGAAGGAACAAUAUGUUCUAGAGAGAAUGGUUUCAGUCCAGGUCAAGGGACACAAACAUUCCAAAAGGCUAGGGCUGCAGUGAGAUACAGAAGUCCACCUCCUUCUGCCGCAGCGCCUGGAGCUGGGCGGUCCCGUGGUGGUCGACAAUGAGGCGGAGGUAUGU